GUAAACGUCAUAUUUCUCGGAUAUUCCUUCUGGCCCCAAUGUGAAAUUUAGAAAUGUAAAUUUACAAAUGCUAUUUCGAAGCCAGAUCGACUCUCCCUCAACUGUUCAAGCACAACAGAGAAGGCAGCCAUGUCGAAGGAAGACACCGGCGCAUCCAGUGCGGAGGCGAGUCCAGCCGAGUCGGAGAUUGCGAUGGGUCGCGGACCGCGUCCAAAGUCCUUCAUUGGUGGUGGAGGAAGUGGAGGUGGAGGCGGUACUGGUGGGGGCAGUACAGGUGGAAGUGGACGUAGUGGAACCUCCGGUGGCAACUUCCCUAAAUCCGAAAGGAGCUCGCGAGAAGAUGACGCAGUCGACCGGGCGACGGAUUCCAGUUCAACGCACCGGAAACUGAUGAGCGAUCCGCGCUUCCGUAUCCGGCCGCUGCAGCAGGUGAUAUCGGCCUGCGCGGGGGCCAUGAUCACGGCCUGCUUCAUGACCCCGCUGGACGUGAUCAAGACCCGCAUGCAGUCGCAGCAGUCGCCGGCGCACAAGUGCUUCUUCUACUCGAAUGGCCUGAUGGACCACCUCUUCUCGAGCGGCCCCAACGGCCCCGAGUUGGCCAGCCUGCGGCCGAGGCCACAGUUCACCAGCACCUGGGAUGCCCUGAUCAAGAUCAGCCGGCACGAGGGACUGGGCGCCCUGUGGUCCGGCCUGGGACCCACCCUCGUCUCCGCCCUGCCCUCCACCAUCAUCUACUUCGUGGCCUACGAGCAGUUCAGGGCCAAGUACCUCGAGGUGUAUAAGAGGCACUGGAAGAGUAGUCCGGAACCCCGGCAGCUGGAUAUGGAAUUCAGGGACACCAAGACGAGUCUGCCGCUGGUGGUUCCCAUGAUGUCAGGGGUCACGGCCCGGAUUUGUGCAGUUACUGUGGUGAGUCCCAUCGAGCUGGUAAGAACCAAGAUGCAAGCCCAGCGGCAAACCUACGCCCAGAUGACGCAGUUCGUCAGGAAUGUGGUGGCUCUUCAGGGUGUUUGGGGACUGUGGCGGGGUCUGCGGCCCACGAUCCUCAGGGACGUGCCUUUUUCGGGAAUUUACUGGCCCAUCUACGAGUACCUCAAGCAGAAUCUCGGUCACAGUUCGCAGCCCUCGUUCAGUCUGAGUUUUUUGGCCGGCGUUCUGGCGGGAUCGGUGGCUGCCAUCGUGACCACUCCGUUCGAUGUGGUCAAGACCCACGAGCAGAUCGAGUUUGGAGAGAGGGUCAUCUUCACGGACUCCCCGGCGAGGGACUUCGGAAAGAGGUCGACCUACAGCAGACUGACAGCCAUUUACAGGAUGCACGGAGUGCGGGGACUCUUCGCGGGGUGCGGACCUAGGCUUUUGAAGGUGGCCCCUGCCUGCGCCAUUAUGAUCUCCACCUUCGAGUACAGCAAGUCCUUCUUCUUCCACUACAACGUGAGGCAGCACAACGAGGCCCUACUGUUGAGCAACCCGAAUGCCACGCUGGUCGAGGAGGAUGAAAAUGAGUAGUGCCAUAGGGAGUGGGGCUGUGCAGUCGGGGUGGCUCCCUUUUGUAAAUAAACAGCGCAUAUUUUACGUAACCCCCGUGAGGCGAAUUCAAUAUCCCAAUUAAGCUGCGCGACGCUUUACGUGUUACGUGUUACGUCAAUAAGGCGGGAUCCGGGAAAUCAAUUUGCAUUUUUGCAGCUUAAAGACUGCGUCUGCCUGUUGCUGUUGCGCCCAGUUUCCCGCUCCCCGAGUUGACUUUUAAUGGAAUAUUCAUUCAUUUACAUUAACUGCAAUUUGAGCGAGCGCAAGGGAAAUUGAACGGAAUUGCCAAAGAGCUGUGAGUCCAGCCCAAGUUUUUCGCCGGCAAUAAUCGAAUCUCCUUUGUUGGCAGGUCACGUUUUGCCACAGUUUCGGCCACCGCAAAUACCAUUUGAGCCCAGGGCGUCGUGACCAAAAAGUAUGGCAAGAUUGAGUGCUACUGAAAAUCUAUAAAUCACAGUCGGAAAUAUCGAAACUAAGCGAGUAAUUAAGAAGAGUUUGUUUGCCUCAGGGGCCUGUGGCUGAACUUAAUUGCAUUUUGCUCGAAGAUGUUGUUUCCUUUUAUUUCUUUAGCACACAAAAAUUUUGCUCGAAUGGUUCGCCUAUUACAAAAAACUGUCCAAGCGAAAAUUUCCUUUUUGUGUGUCCUUUGUUUUUAUUAAAGUGCAAACAAAGUACACAAAGCAUU